rnacentral:rRNA from 1 species
UACGAAGGGGGCUAGCGUUGCUCGGAAUCACUGGGCGUAAAGCGCACGUAGGCGGAUCUUUAAGUCAGGGGUGAAAUCCCAAGGCUCAACCUUGGAACUGCCUUUGAUACUGAGGAUCUUGAGUUCGGGAGAGGUGAGUGGAACUGCGAGUGUAGAGGUGAAAUGCGUAGAUAUCGUAAGGAAGACCGUGGCGAAGGCGGGUCUCUGGACAGUUCCUGACGCUGAGGCACGAAGGUCAGGGGGAGCAAACGGG